rnacentral:rRNA from 1 species
GUGGGGAAUAUUGGACAAUGGGCGAAAGCCUGAUCCAGCCAUGCCGCGUGUGUGAAGAAGGUCUUCGGAUUGUAAAGCACUUUAAGUUGGGAGGAAGGGCAGUAAGUUAAUACCUUGCUGUUUUGACGUUACCGACAGAAUAAGCACCGGCUAACUUCGUGCCAGCAGCCGCGGUAAUACGAAGGGUGCAAGCGUUAAUCGGAAUUACUGGGCGUAAAGCGCGCGUAGGUGGUUUUGUAAGUUGGAGGUGAAAUCCCCGGGCUCAACCUGGGAACUGACUCCAAAAAUGCAUGACUAGAGUACGGUAGAGGGUAGUGGAAUUUCCUGUGUAGCGGUGAAAUGCGUAGAUAUAGGAAGGAACACCAGUGGCGAAGGCGACUACCUGGACUGAUACUGACACUGAGGUGCGAAAGCGUGGGGAGCAAACAGGAUUAGAAACCCCGGUAGUCC